rnacentral:rRNA from 1 species
GACGAACGCUGGCGGCGUGCUUAACACAUGCAAGUCGAACGGUGAAGCCCUUCGGGGUGGAUCAGUGGCGAACGGGUGAGUAACACGUGGGCAAUCUGCCCUGCACUCUGGGACAAGCCCUGGAAACGGGGUCUAAUACCGGAUAUGACCUGCUCCCGCAUGGGGGUGGGUGGCAAGCUCCGGCGGUGCAGGAUGAGCCCGCGGCCUAUCAGCUUGUUGGUGGGGUGAUGGCCUACCAAGGCGACGACGGGUAGCCGGCCUGAGAGGGCGACCGGCCACACUGGGACUGAGACACGGCCCAGACUCCUACGGGAGGCAGCAGUGGGGAAUAUUGCACAAUGGGCGCAAGCCUGAUGCAGCGACGCCGCGUGAGGGAUGACGGCCUUCGGGUUGUAAACCUCUUUCAGUAGGGAAGAAGCGCAAGUGACGGUACCUGCAGAAGAAGCACCGGCUAACUACGUGCCAGCAGCCGCCGCCGUAA